rnacentral:rRNA from 1 species
GCAAGUCGAAUGGGUUUAGACCCAUGGCAGACGAGGUAGGAACACGUAGGUACAAACCCCAAAGUCAGGGAUAAUCUGGAGAAAUCCAGGAUAAUACUUGAUAGUCUCGCAAGAGUAAAGAUUUAUCGCUUUGGGAACGGCCUGCGGUCUAUCAGCUUGUUGGUAAGGUAACGGCUUACCAAGGCUACGACGGAUAGGGGAGGUGAGAGCCUGGCC